GGCCCGCAGGUGCUUCCGGAGUUGCGCCCCUAGGCGAAGUCGGCUCGCGGCUCUGGCCGGCCGCGACGGCCCUCCCUUACUCCAGGCCUGGGCCUAGGGGGAGGCAGGAUUUCCUUUGAGCCGCCACUGAGGCGGUCGACUCCCGGCCUGGCCGCGUUAGAUUUGCAUAACCAGAAACACUCCCGUGGAGAUGCAGUGGGUGUGUCCACACUUCGAUGACACCUUUAUUUUAUUUUAUUUUAUUUUUUUUUAAAGAUUUUAUUUAUUCAUUUGAGAGAGAGAAUGGUAGCAAGAGAGCAUGAGAGGGAAGAGGGUCAGAGGGAGAAGCAGACUCCCCGCUGAGCAGGGAGCCCGAUGUGGGACUCGAUCCCGGGACUCCAGGAUCAUGACCUGAGCCAAAGGCAGUCGCUUAACCAACUGAGCCACCCAGGCGCCCCGAUGACACCUUUAUUUUAAAAAGCUGUGAUGUUUGAAGGACCCCAGCUAUUGAACCUAAGACGGUACACUUCCUAUUGACUGACAGAAACUUCUCAGGGAUGUUUCCACUCUGCUCUGGAUUACUCUGAACUGGGUCAUGUGCACAUCAUUAGGACUGACUCUGGGUGAUAGGGGUAGAUUCAGCCUUCCAGGACCCAGACGGAUGGAUGUUGGCAAGCUAACUCAACGACUGCAUCAUGAAAUCCUUUUUGUAUUAACCAUUUUGGUCUAUAGUGGUGCUUUCCAACUCAGGCUGCCUGCUAGCAUGACCUGGUCAUGAUAACCUGUGAUUCCAAUUAAAGAUUUUUUAAAAAAGAGAAGAGUUCAGCCCUUCAAGUAUUGGUUUGCCCUCCUUAAGCCAGAGGUAAAUAUAACACCUUUAUAAGCUCUUGAUCAAUAAGAUAAUCAAAGUUAGGAUAACUCUAUUUGCACAUGAAAAAGUAAAGUGGUUCACAUCCUGCUUUAAACCAACAGAAAAGAAUUCAUUAGCAUCAACUAGAAGAGCUAUUGGUAUAUACUAUUUCAUCAGCACUAUAGGUGAUAGAUUGUUCUCUGAACGGAAUUAUUUGAAAAAUAAAUAGUUUCCAUACUAUCCUGUUUUCUCAUGGGUUAUAAUUGCAUUUGAAAUGCUAUUUUUUUCCAAAAGCCAAAGCUACUCUUCUGG
rnacentral:lncRNA from 1 species